rnacentral:rRNA from 1 species
UACGUAGGGUGCAAGCGUUGUCCGGAAUUAUUGGGCGUAAAGCGCGCGCAGGCGGUUCUUUAAGUCUGAUGUGAAAGCCCACGGCUCAACCGUGGAGGGUCAUUGGAAACUGGGGAACUUGAGUACAGAAGAGGAAAGCGGAAUUCCACGUGUAGCGGUGAAAUGCGUAGAGAUGUGGAGGAACACCAGUGGCGAAGGCGGCUUUCUGGUCUGUAACUGACGCUGAGGCGCGAAAGCGUGGGGAGCAAACAGG